rnacentral:rRNA from 1 species
GAUGAACGCUGGCGGCGUGCUUAAUACAUGCAAGUCGAGCGAACGGACGCUAAGCUUGCUUCUCUGUUGUUAGCGGCGGACGGGUGAGUAACACGUGGAUACCCUCCCUAUAAGACUGGGAUAACUUCGGGACACCGGAGCUAAUACCGGAUAAUAUUUUGAACCGCAUGGUUCAAAAGUGAAAGACGGUCUUGCUGUCACUUAUAGCUGGAUCGGCGCUGCAUUAGCUAGUUGGUAAGUUAACGGCUUACCAAGGCAACGAUGCGUAGACGACCUGAGAGAGUGAUCGGCGACACGGGAGCGGGGACAGGGUCCAGACGCCUAAGGGAGGCAGCAGAAGGGAACGGGACGCAAAGGGCGGGAGUAUGACGGAGCAAGGCCGCGUGAGUGAUGGAGGUCUUCGGUGCGGAAAGAUCUGUUAUUAGGGAUGAACAGAUGUGUAAGUAGAUGUGCAGAGAUUGACGGUAACUAGUCAGAAAGCCACGGCUAACUACGUG